CAAAUCUUGCCUUCCUUGGUCAUUGGUAAGAGCUUUGUCUUCAGUCUCCUCCAGGGCUGGCUCCACAGUUACUCUAUUACUUGUAAGAAGUUUCGGACUUUUCCACUGGACCAAUACACACACUUGGAACACAGCAACAACCUUCUUGGCAUGUGACAGUCCAUCUAAUGUUCUUGCUCUUUCUCUAGUUCCCUUUAGAGAUGCUACAACUGCUUCUCUUGUGUGCACUCACUGGUUACCUCCACCCGUUAUUAGCCUUUGAAUUUAGUCCUCUCCUAAAAUUUCUCUCCUGGUUAUCCCUGACAAGAACUAAUGGCACACUUUCAACAUUCAUCUUUGUAGAAACAUCUUUCAUUACUAAACAAUAAGUCUUAAAAUUCCCCUCUUUAACUGAGCAGUACAAUUGGCGUAUUCUGUGACCUCUGAAUAACUCAUGGUCUCCUUUCCUGGUUCACUUCUUUCCCUUCCACUUCUUAUGAUGAAAGUAGACAUCUCCAGCUUUUAUCCUCUGGGCUUCUGUCUUGUUUCAUUCUUUCCCUUGAUGAACGAAUGUGUCACUCAUCAACUACAUGUUCCAUCCUCUGCUAUGUUUUCUAGAAUGGUAAAAAUGCGUCUGAAUAUUUAAAUAUGCUGAACUCAACAGUUCUUUAACCUGCUUGUUUUAUGAAUAAGAUCUGACUUCCUCCUGGUUAUAUUAGUACACGGUUUGAACCAUGGAACUAUUUUUGCUCUUUCUUGCAUCUUACCACUCUCUAAACUUAGCAGUCUGGCUCCUGACCAGAUUUGAGGCUGGUCAUUCAGCCGCAAGACUGGCUCUAAAUUGGAAUGUUCAUGGCAUGCUUUUUCUUUCUCUUUCCUUGUUUUCAUAUUUUCAAAAACAAUUAACAUUGGUAAAAAAAAUCACAUAUAAAAUGUGAAUGUACAUUUAAAAUGUAUACUGUUAACUGGCACACAUUUUGAGCCAGUUACCCCAGUCCUGCUUGCUUAUUGAUUCUCAGGCUGUGGCCAGUCCCUGCCAUCUAACCACACGUAUUUCCUCUGUGUGGUUCAUACACCACCUUCAGACACACAGUUCCUUCUCUGGAUCUAACUUGUGAUUUGUGGCUAUUCUCUGAGACCAUGGCAGACAAUUUAGCCCUUUAUACCAACCGCUUUAGUAAACGUGAUGUUAAUACAGGACAUUUAUAUGAAUUACAGGUUAGUAUAAGGCGAGUUUUUUUUUAACCCCCUGUCCAAAAAUUACAGAUACAAGUUAAUAAGAUUUCUAAGAUCUAAGGUACUUCAUCCUGGCCUGGUCUAGGAUGCUUUUCUGGUGAGCAACAGUUGUGGCAGGGAACAUUUACUUUUCCACCUCUACACUGCUGUCUUUUCAGAGUGAAACGGAAUUUAGAAUCAAGCCAAAAACUGGAGAGGCUGACCUGGCACUCAGAUAUGGACCUGAUUCUCUGCAGUUGCAGACAAUUCUCAGCUGCCAUGUAGGUGCUCAGAAUCGAACCCAUGUCUACCAGAAGAACAGCCAGCCCUUUUACCUUCUGAGCCAUCUCUCCAGCCCCUCCUCAUCUAUCUUAAUAUAAAAUCAUGACAUCUUAAAAAGAAGUGCUCUAUGGUCUGUGAUAGCAAAGGGAGCAUCACACAACAGCGCUCCCACAAUCCUGAGCGCGCGUCUUCGCAAAAUCCCAAACAGUGGAGCCAAGCAUAUGCAGCCGUGUUACAAAAUUCUGUGACGUCCAGCGUUCAAGCAGAACCUUUCAGUAAGUUGCUGAGAGGAGGUUGGGGCAGAGACCAUGUUUACAUCACUCCUGGCACAUGGAGUGGCAGGCAAAUGCAUGAGGGGAGACAUUGCCAGUUUACGUGUUGUGUCCAGCGUAGAAUUUCCCAGAGUGGCCGACAGUCCUUUGGACUCGCUGUUGGAUCCUUGAAUUCUGGUAUCUUUCACCAGUUUUCCACCUUCCCUCCCGCUUCCUCUCUCCCACUUAAAAGAUGAGUACUUCCUGUGUGGCUGAGAGGAUUAAAACAAUCUUCCCUGUUAGGAGGGGUGGUUUCCGCUGGACACUCUGAGAACUAACUGAAGGGGAACUAACUGAAGGGAAUGUGUUUUUCUCCCCAGCCAUAGGAAACAGUAAAAGCCUACAACAGAACUUCAUAGUUCAUAUAAAACGUUCAACAUACCCUGUGCCGCAGAGAAAAGAACUCAGAAUUUUGAUAUCAGUCUGAAUUGACCAGUAUUUAUGUUCUAGCAUCUUUAGACACUACCAUUUAUUGCCAAGUUUUGAUUCUGGGAGCAAGAAAAUGGCAUCCAGUUCUGGCUCGCCGUAUGGAAUGGGCUUGCCAUUUGCAUAUGUAAAGCCUUCCUCAUCUGUAGCUUCUGGGAGUAUGAACAGCAAUGGGCAAGGCUCUCAGGGGAGGAAAAGUGUUGCUUGGGGUCAUCUGCCAAGGACAGCCAAUGUUUCAGCCUUAGAAACACGCAAUACAAGGGAAGAUACGGAGUCCAUGGAGACUGACCAGCCAAGUGGCUCUCAGAAGGAGCAGGAGAACAGAACGAGUGGUAAGAUACGUCUGUAUGCUAAAGGGAAAGCCGCUAACUUCUUCGCUGUGGGCAUGAUUCUUAAAUGCCAGGCAUGCUCUCCCCCAUUCUUCUUACCACUUGGGCCCUGAAUGAGUGAGAUAAGGGCUUCUCUGAGUUUACAGGUAUGUGCCUCUAUCUGAUAGCCAAGCCUGAGAUUCAACAAGAACUGGAGCUGACCUCAGCUGUCCUGGAGACACAGGAAGACCCAUGUGGAGUGUGUCUAUUCUCCAUCCUAAUCCAUCUGUGUGGUUUGUGGAGCCAUGGAUUUGGGGAGAGACUCUAGAUAAACCGCUUAUGAAUGCUAAGAGAAAGGACAAAAGCAAGAACAGCCUUCCUCCCUCCUAUGGUUUGGAUCACAGUUAAUAAGUGUAGGCUAAGGAACCCAUCCCCUUCUCUCUGCGAGUAUAAUUAUGAGGACUGGAUAAGGAGUGGACAGAAAAAUAUCUCAACCCCUAAGUCAGUGCUUGCGUUCUACCCCAUAUCCGGCAGGUGCUUCUUUGGGCUGGACUCUGCCCAGAGGAGAACAUGAGUGCUCGGAUGACACAAGCAGGUUCCAGGCUGGCUGCCACACGCUUUUUCACGGUGACUCACUGCAGAGGUGACAUGCAUACAAGAAUACAGGCACAAGUGGACAGCUGGGGAUGUAAACAGGAGCGGAGGCCGGAACAGAGGCAGCGAGGGCUGUCAUUGAUACUACAGGAAGAAGAGAAAGAAGAUUGAAGUGGACACUGAAAUUGGGGCAUUUGGGCAUUGAAAAAGAGGACACAAUGGGAAGGUCCAUAGAUUAUCCAAUAGUGACUCUCAUUUCUAAGCAAGAGCAGGGAACAUAAUGCUCUAUAAGUGGCUUUCGACAUCCUGGUGUGGGAACUUACCUACAGAACAUUAUUACAAAACUGAUAUUAAAGAAUACUUACCUAUGCAAUUAAUAAAUCGCCUAUUUUUGUCUAACCUCUAAA